rnacentral:pre_miRNA from 1 species
UACCACAAAAAUAUACUACAAUUUGUUCAGCCAUUCCCCAGUUGAGGGCCUCAACUGGGGAAUGGCUGAACAAAUUGUGGUAUAUGAU